UACGUAGGUGGCAAGCGUUGUCCGGAUUUACUGGGCGUAAAGGGCGUGCAGGCGGUCUGUUAAGUGCAGGGUGAAAGCUCCCGGCUCAACUUGGAGAGGUCCUUGCAUACUGGCGGACUUGAGGGGGGUAGAGGAAAGUGGAAUUCCCGGUGUAGUGGUGAUAUGCGUAGAUAUCGGGAGGAACACCUGUGGCGAAGGCGAGUCCCUAGACAACUCCUGACACUGAGGCACGAAAGCUAGGGGAGCAAACAGG
rnacentral:rRNA from 1 species